rnacentral:lncRNA from 1 species
UUAUAUGCAUGCGACGGGCUAACCUCUGUAUAUAGGUUGGCACGUCGCACUGGGUGAAGGCUGCAGAUCAUGCACUCGAGAUCAUCCACAAAACAUCAGGGAGAGGUUCUGUCGGCUGGAGCUUGUGGGAGUAUCACGUCGUGAUCGAGACCUGGGCGACCAUCUAUAUGGUAGGCAACUAGACUCACACCCAACUUUAUUUUUCCUUGUGCUGAUUUGAGGUUAGUUCAGUUCCAGGGGCAGGUGCUAAUUAAUGGACAGUCCAAGGAUGAAUGGGAGAGGUGGCUGCUGAUUACGGUUUGAUUUUGGUAAUUAUAUUUGGGUUCCUUGUUCGUUGCCGUUUUGUUGUGCUAGAUGUGGUAUAUGAUCCACAAGAUAUUUAGAUAUUAGAUUAUUAUCACUGCAAUAGCAUCAGACCAAACUUGGUCUUUUCUCAUGUGCUAAAUCAAAGUAGGAAUCGGUUGUAGAAGUAGACAAGACUGCAACUAGCUUAAAGUUGGUUAGAUUAUGCAUAAAAGGGUAUUUCUGUUGUCUACUCUUUAGGUUCCCAUAGUGUGAGGUGGUAUUCCUUUUGAAAACACAUAUAAACUGGCAUCGAUAGUGAACAAUGGUGCUUCCUGUACGUAUAAACUGGAGCAGCAAUACUUAAAUCUUUUACGUAAUAAAGCGUCCCGUUUCGCAAAAAAUAAACUGGAGCAGUAAUAUGAGGCUGAAGUAACCGACAUUAGCAACAAUAAUAUAAAUGUUUUCUGCACUGGGUCCGUGUGUCUCACAUGGAUGUUGAAUAGAUAAAAUGCUAUAAAGAUCAGCUUGCUUCUCAUGUAAUUGGAACGAUUGUGUGUCUUAGUUUUUCCUGUUUCCUUUGGUUUUGCAGCCAAGAUUUUUUUAGCACGUGCAUACAGAGCAGAACUGGAGCAUAAUAGUAGUUGAAAAAUGUUUUAGUGUAGUUUAUUAAAGAUUCCGUUUAUUUCUACAUUACGAAUGUAACUACUUAGUCAUUCUCAAAAAAGAAAAGAAACGAAUGUAGCUUACUUAGUCCACUGAGUUCCUUUAUGAUGUGUCCCUAAAGAAAGAGAGUUCCUUUAUGAUGUGUAGCACAUGUCCUUUACUGAUACGACAUAGUUUCUCAUUCUAGGUAACGGCAAGUGAAGCCAUGAAAGGCAUGUAUAUUGUACUACAGACAUGUAGCUUCAUGGUAUCUUUGUUGUGAUGUUCAUGUUCUCUUGGAAGAUUCUCUUACUAGAUUUAUGCUAGAUUUCACUAAAUCAUCUUUCUUUUACACAAGUACUAUGUAAGCUGUAUGUUUCCCAGGUUUGUUCAAAGUUUCUUGCACAUUCAGUAUUCAGUGCCCCUGCAUCUUAUUUUUUGCUCUUUCUUGUUGGAUGCGGGAUCACAUUCAGCUGUCCUCACAACUAUGAACUAUCUUCUUUGUUAUAUCGAAUAUUUUUCUCUACGCUCAUGCUUGUGAAUUGUAUGACGUUUUGACAGGUUAUAUGUGGGUUCCUUGUGCCGAUCAAAACACGGGUAGAUGCUAAUAAUAUUUUUGUUGACAUAUAUCACUACUGGAAUUUUCAUGUACGCCGGGUGUAAUGCUCUUCGCCGAGUGCUAAAACACGGACACUCGGCAAAUCAAGCUUUGCCGAGUGUCACUCUCGGCAAACC